rnacentral:lncRNA from 1 species
AUUUUGUACUUGACCUUUAUAGAUGCAGACCAGAAGACAUUCAAGCAGAACUUUGAGAGCAAGCAUCCCAAGUCUCCAAUUGUCCCAAUACUGGUUGAUAUGCAGACCUAAGUGACCACACACACUGAAAUGGACCUACAGCUUGGUGUGCAGCAGACUUUCCAGCCUCAUUGAAACUAGGACAGACAGAAUUGAAAGCUCAGGAGAAACCAAGCCUCCAAACAAAACAGGUGACCUUCGCAAAUCUCCCAAGAAGAAAGGGUUGCUAAAGAGAGUUUGGAGGACUGCGAAACGAGUCCUCUGUGGCUGCUGUAGACAUGCCAGGAGCCAGGACUAAAAUACAUAGUCAUUGUUGGCCUCGUUCGACACUUUGUAAAACAGACAAAUCAAGUCUUUUUCAUGCUUGAAUCUCUAUUUUGUCAUUUCAAGCAUUGUUGACAUGAUUACAUUCUUUAGUCAUUACAUUUUACAGGGUUGUUUUCUAAUUUUCUAACUGUGAAUUUGUGUGUAAAGAAUAUUCUAUUACAUCAGUGGAAACCCCUCAGAGUUACAGAAUCAGUACUUCACAUCACAAUUGGUAAAUAAUUACUUUAAAAAAGAUUUGCCCUAGUUGUUUUUAAUUCUAACGCAGAAAGUGUAUUAAAGGAAUUGGUACACAUCUAUUGUAAUCUACUUUAACCAUUAAAAGGGGGUGGCG